AACAUAUUAACGGCAAAUUCCAAGUUCUUUCAAUUACUUGUUGAAGGAAAGCCAUGGAGAAAGAAGCUGACUAACUUUAUGGCCUUUGACAAGCUUGUGCUCCCGAGCUAAUUUGAGUCAAAAAAUCAUUGGAGUCUUGGGGUUGUUGACAUACACAGAUGCACAAUAGCCAUUAUUGACCCCCUUGGCGUUAAGAAAAACCACUCAAAAAUUUUUGAUCAACUCAG